rnacentral:rRNA from 1 species
AUUGAACGCUGGCGGCAGGCCUAACACAUGCAAGUCGAACGAGUGGCGGACGGGUGAGUAAUGUCUGGGAAACUGCCUGAUGGCGGGGGAUAACUACAGGAAACGGUAGCUAAUACCGCAUACCAUCUGAUGUGCCCAGAUGGGCUUAGCUAGUAGGGGGGGUAACGGCUCACAUAGGCGACGAUCCCUAGCUGGGCUGAGAGGAUUACCAGCCACACUGGAACUGAGAAACGGUCCAGACUCCUACGGGAGGCAGCAGUGGGGAAUAUUGGACAAUGGGCGAAAGCCUGAUGCAGCCAUGCCGCGUGUAUGAAGAAGGCCUUCGGGUUGUAAAGUACUUUCAGCGGGGAGGCGUUACCCGCAGAAGAAGCACCGGCUAACUCCGUGCCAGCAGCCGCGGUAAUAC